GACGAACGCUGGCGGCGUGCCUAUACAUGCAAGUCGAGCGAAGUUUUUCUGGUGCUUGCACUAGAAAAACUUAGCGGCGAACGGGUGAGUAACACGUAAAGAACCUGCCUCAUAGACUGGGACAACUAUUGGAAACGAUAGCUAAUACCGGAUAACAGCAUUAACUGCAUGGUUAAUGUUUGAAAGUUGGUUUUGCUAACACUAUGAGAUGGCUUUGCGGUGCAUUAGCUAGUUGGUGGGGUAAAGGCCUACCAAGGCGACGAUGCAUAGCCGACCUGAGAGGGUGAUCGGCCACACUGGGACUGAGACACGGCCCAGACUCCUACGGGAGGCAGCAGUAGGGAAUCUUCCGCAAUGGGCGAAAGCCUGACGGAGCAACGCCGCGUGAGUGAAGAAGGAUUUCGGUUCGUAAAGCUCUGUUGUUAGGGAAGAAUGAUUAUGUAGUAACUAUACAUAGUAGAGACGGUACCUAACCAGAAAGCCACGGCUAACUACGUGCCAGCAGCCGCGGUAAUACGUAGGUGGCAAGCGUUGUCCGGAAUUAUUGGGCGUAAAGCGCGCGCAGGUGGUUUAAUAAGUCUGAUGUGAAAGCCCACGGCUCAACCGUGGAGGGUCAUUGGAAACUGUUAAACUUGAGUGCAGGAGAGAAAAGUGGAAUUCCUAGUGUAGCGGUGAAAUGCGUAGAGAUUAGGAGGAACACCAGUGGCGAAGGCGGCUUUUUGGCCUGUAACUGACACUGAGGCGCGAGAGCGUGGGGAGCAAACAGG
rnacentral:rRNA from 1 species